rnacentral:rRNA from 1 species
CAGUCGAGCGGCAGCGACAACAUUGAACCUUCGGGGGAUUUGUUGGGCGGCGAGCGGCGGACGGGUGAGUAAUGCCUGGGAAAUUGCCCUGAUGUGGGGGAUAACCAUUGGAAACGAUGGCUAAUACCGCAUGAUAGCUUCGGCUCAAAGAGGGGGACCUUCGGGCCUCUCGCGUCAGGAUAUGCCCAGGUGGGAUUAGCUAGUUGGUGAGGUAAGGGCUCACCAAGGCGACGAUCCCUAGCUGGUCUGAGAGGAUGAUCAGCCACACUGGAACUGAGACACGGUCCAGACUCCUACGGGAGGCAGCAGUGGGGAAUAUUGCACAAUGGGCGCAAGCCUGAUGCAGCCAUGCCGCGUGUAUGAAGAAGGCCUUCGGGUUGUAAAGUACUUUCAGCAGUGAGGAAGGAGGUAUCGUUAAUAGCGGUAUCUUUUGACGUUAGCUGCAGAAGAAGCACCGGCUAACUCCGUGCCAGCCG